rnacentral:rRNA from 1 species
AAUGAACGUUGGCGGCGUGGAUUAGGCAUGCAAGUCGAGCGUACCCAGCAAUGGGGAAGCGGCAAACGGGGUAGUAAUGCGUCGGUACGUGCCUCCUGGACGGGGAUAGCCGGCCGAAAGGCCGGGUAAUACCCGAUGACAUCGCGAGAUCAAAGGUGUGAUUCCGCCGGGAGAGCGGCUGACGUGGUAUUAGGUAGUUGGUAAGGUAAUGGCUUACCAAGCCUGGGAUGCCUAGGGGGUGUGGGAGCAUGGCCCCCACCAUUGGGACUGAGACACUGCCCAGACACCUACGGGUGGCUGCAGUCGAGAAUCUUCGGCAAUGGGCGCAAGCCUGACCGAGCGACGCCGCGUGCGGGAUGAAGGCCUUCGGGUUGUAAACCGCUGUCAGGGGGGAUGAAAUCACGGUGGGUUCUCCCAUCGUGUUGACAGAGCCCCAGAGGAAGCGCGGGCUAAGUUCGUGCCAGCAGCCGCUGUAACAC